UACGUAGGGGGCAAGCGUUAUCCGGAUUUACUGGGUGUAAAGGGAGCGUAGACGGCGAUGCAAGCCAGAUGUGAAAGCCCGGGGCUCAACCCCGGGACUGCAUUUGGAACUGUAUAGCUAGAGUGUCGGAGAGGCAGGCGGAAUUCCUAGUGUAGCGGUGAAAUGCAUAGAUAUCACGCAGAACCCCGAUUGCGAAGGCAGCCUUCCGGCGCCCUACUGACGCUGAGGCACGAAAGUGCGGGGAUCGAACAGG
rnacentral:rRNA from 1 species